rnacentral:rRNA from 1 species
GAUCAUGGCUCAGGAUGAACGCUAGCUACAGGCUUAACACAUGCAAGUCGCGGGGCAGCAUAGGGUUUCAGCAAUGAAAUUCGGAUGGCGACCGGCGCACGGGUGAGUAACACGUAUCCAACCUGCCCUUUACUCGGGGAUAGCCUUGCGAAAGUAAGAUUAAUACCCGAUGGCAUUGGAUUCCCGCAUGGGGAUUCAAUUAAAGGUGCGAAACUGGUAAAGGAUGGGGAUGCGUUCCAUUAGG